GGAUUGUGGCUCAGUGGUAGAGCAUUCACCUGGUGCUUGCAAGGCCCUGGGUUUGAUUCUCAGCACCA
rnacentral:tRNA from 1 species